AUUUUUAAUAUAGUUUACUUAACCCAGUAUGUCAAAAAUAUUAUUUCAGCAUGUAAUCAAUCCAAAAACCGAUUACUGCUGUCUCCUCAAGGUUUACUCAUUGCCCUCAGCCCCACCCAGGCUCAUCCCAGAGGCAGUAUUUCCAUCUUACGACUGCUGCCAGGCCCGUCCGUGUUUAUGACUUGAUGCCUCCAGCAGAACCCAGGUCAUCCCGGCCAGUUUCAGAUGUCCCUCUUGGUGUACGUUGGUCAGGUGUCCUGUCUCUCCCAGAGCCUUGUAACAUGCGAGAAACUGUUUCUCAAAGGGGUGUAGUUUGCUGUUGCUGACAACGUGGCCCUGCCGUGGCAUCCCAGUGGCCUGCCUGGGGAUUCUCCCACUGGGACUUGCCGUGGGCUCCAUACUCUGUCCUCUGUCUUCCCGUUUCCCGUCGCGGACACUCCCGACACUUCAGCUUCCGGGCACGGUAGGCCGGCCCUGCCACAGAGCCUUCUCCUGCUGUGGCCCCCCUGCAGCAGGCACUCUGCGCGUCACCCAGAAAGCUGUGCUGUCCCUGCGCCCAGACAGCUGCUAGCCACCGUGCUUGCCUCACAGCGGCAGGAGAGACAAGAUACAACCAUUUCUCGUCCUCUUUACUUUCACUUUCUUUCACUGACCACGGAACCCCUUAAAAACUUCAUUAAAGUGGCAGGUCCUUAAAUCUCCAUAGCUGUUAGGUGCGUGUGACUGGAGUGCGUGUGACCGAGCCGUGGCCUCCAGCACAGGACACCUCUUACUCAUCCAGCCUGAUCAGCACGGGGUCACUGAUGGAACGGACCAGUGUGAUGUUCCGUGGGAUGUCCACAUGGGCCCGAUCUCUUGAGAUCACGUCAAGACGGAAGGCAAGGCAGCUCACACAACCCCGAGGCGGAACCGUAAAUGAGUAUUGUUGUGCAUCCCAUGUUCCAGAUUUUCCCCCCCAGGGCCUGACCUUCACGUAUCUACCUUGGCUGAGCACUCAGACUUAUCUGGGCAGCUCUGCUCUUCAGCCUGCCACUCCGCUCUGUCCUGCGCUGCCGGAGAUAAGCGGUCUCUGUCAGAUACCACGGGGCCUGCUGGAGGGCGCACUGCCCCAGGAACCGCUUGUCAGUGGCCGCAGCCCCUCUUCAGCCCGCGGCAGAACACCAGCCUGAGCUCACGGUAACCAGCCGACUUUUUGAGGGCGCUGUUCCGCCCCCCACCCGCCCCCCACCUUAUGUUUUAAAUGCCUGGUUGAUCACACCUACCACAACAUUCUCCUCCUCUAAGGAAAUUCUCCCGGGGCCUCACCAUGAAAUCUUCAGCAUUUGAGCUGCUACCCUGCUCUAGGGACGAUCUGGGGCCCCCAUCAACCAGGAUGGCACCCUCUUCCCCGUGCGCUCUGAGACAGUCCCAAAUCCGCAGCUGGCCCAUCUCCUCAGACCACCUGUUGUUAGUUCUGGUCCUCCCACCAAGACAGGACUCUCUGUGUGCAAGAGACUUACGGGGGAACACGUGUGAGG
rnacentral:lncRNA from 1 species